rnacentral:lncRNA from 1 species
GAUAUCUGCAACGAAUUAAUCAAUUUAUAUAUCAAUUAUAAUCACGUGUAAAAAAAGAGUGUAAACCCAAAUACAUCCACGCUAAAAUCAAAAUCAAUUCAAGAACUUCGUGUUGAAAAUAUCUCUUCUUCUUCGACCUUCAUGUUCCAUCGAUUUGAUGUUCUUGGAUAGAUUUACAUGUAAUCAUUUUUACCGAAGAGGUAGCAAAGCGAGAGAAGUAGGGUAAAGAGGGAAACGGUGGCGUGCCUGAUUAUAUGUGGGAAUGGAAAGACUUUGGUGUGUUAAUGUUGUUUUUUUAUAGAACGGGAGACGUUAAUUAUGGCCUCUUUCUUGGUUUUGUCAUAAUUAUUGCCAAUUUAACACAACUUUCUGGAAUGAAUUGAAGAGACACAUAUUUUUUGAAGAAUCCAUCAUCGUCGGUUAAGACGUAGGCCAACAGUAACCCCUUUUUAAGGAAUCGAAGAUGAUGAAGGAUAUGUGAUGAAAUCGAUUGCUAUAUUGUUGAUCAAUCGAUACGGCACAUUGGAAAACGAGGCGGUAGGAAUCGACUUUCAUGUCUACAGCAUCGUUCUAAAGUUAGGUUACGUGUCAUCCCGGGAACCACAUAAAUGUGUUUUUGGAGGCAUG